rnacentral:rRNA from 1 species
AUAACUCCGGAGAAACCGGGCGCUAAUACCGGAUAACAUUUUGAACCGCAUGGUUCGAAAUUGAAAGGCGGCUUCGGCUGUCACUUAUGGAUGGACCCGCGUCGCAUUAGCUAGUUGGUGAGGUAACGGCUCACCAAGGCAACGAUGCGUAGCCGACCUGAGAGGGUGAUCGGCCACACUGGGACUGAGACACGGCCCAGACUCCUACGGGAGGCAGCAGUAGGGAAUCUUCCGCAAUGGACGAAAGUCUGACGGAGCAACGCCGCGUGAGUGAUGAAGGCUUUCGGGUCGUAGAACUCUGUUGUUAGGGAAGAACAAGUGCUAGUUGAAUAAGCUGGCACCUUGACGGUACCUAACCAGAGAGCCACGGCUAACUAC